rnacentral:lncRNA from 1 species
GUCCAAGGAAACGCAGCAAGUUUGUGGUAGAAGCAAGUUCAGAUUCCAGGACUCGAAGGUCUUUGUAGCAGCCUUUGCAGCAGCCUGGAGCUACUGAAAACAGAAGACUGGUCCAGGUGAGGUCUCCAGCUCUAAGGGCUCGGAUUCAUGGCAGAGAUCCAUGGUUCCUGGCUCCUCUCUCUAGCCCUUAGCCCUCUCUAUUACUGCAAGGAUUUGGCUUCAAUGAAAAGAAAUACAAGUCCUUCCGCCUUGGCAAAGAUGAUAGUACCGUUCCCUUCAGUGUUCUGGUUCUGCUCUAUUGGAUAAGUUCCGGUUUGACUAUGACUACGUGAAAAUGUGGAACCAGACCUUCACCCCACAUUCCAGCUCCAGCUCUACCACAGAGGAAGUGCAAUAUCACCUUCGUUAUUCAACACAGUAUGCUCCUCGUGAUACAACCAGAGUUCACAUCAGCAAUCUUGGCAGCUCUCACCACGCUGCUGACUCACGACUCUCUCAUGUCCCAAUUUCCUGUCCAUUGUUCUUUCCUCUACUUGGCCUGAUUUCUAAAGGCCUCUCUUGGUUGCAUUAAGCGGGAUUCCUGAGGGAUUCCCUUGGCAGUUACCUUGGGGGAGCUCUUAGGUUUGGGGCUGAUCCAUGUCCUCUAAAUGUAGGACUUCAAAGCUCCCAAAGAUAGGCAGACCCAGUGGGAAGCUGGGAAAUGCUCUCUGACCCCUCUGGGAGAGCUGGCAGUCAGAGGGCCUUUUGGAAAGAGUCAGACCUGAUCCAUAAGUCCCUGGAAAACACCCUGCCCAGGGAGCAAAUGCCACUGUGGCCUUGACUGAGGCUUCAGAAGAGUUUGGGAGCUGCAAUUCAUCCACACACGCAUUCAUUUUCAAGUAGUGGUUUGCAGUUCAGGCUUUGGAGCCACAUAAGCCUGGCUUCAAAGCCACUUUCCAGCUUUGUGACUUUAGGAAGUCUCUACAUUUUUAAACCUCCAUUUUUUUUCCUGUAAAACUGGGGUCUUCAUGGUACUUACUUCAUUGUGAUGUUGAGAGAAUGAAAAGAAAAAGGAUAAAUAAAUGGCUUAGCCUCGUGCCUUGGCACAUAUU